GUAAAUAUAGUAUAAAUAAUACAAUUCACUUACAAGGAAGAAAUCUAAAUGUAUUUACU
rnacentral:tRNA from 2 species